UGCAACAGAGAACGUCUCAAUCUAAAGGUCACACUUCAGUUUGUAAAGAUGCUGUGUGAAGCGGUUUGGUGGCGGCGGCGGCGGCUGGAAGAGGAAUGUCAUGGAGCUCUCAAGAAUAAGCCCUGGGGAGCACACCGCACUUCUGUUUUCUAGAAUUAAAAUCCUGCAAACUUAAUCAAAAGAUCUAGUGCCAGAGACUCCAACUCACACGCAAAGUCAGCCUGAUGCCAUGCAAGGGCUCACCAACCCUGAUCUGUGACUUGAGGGGACAAAGAAGACACUCUUGUCAAAAUAACACAUCACAACCCUGGACCACCGUGAGUGUUACAAACUUCUCCCUCAGGCAGUCAUGUUUCUGAAGGGUGAGUGAAUCCCGUUGGAUUUUUCUUUCAUGUCAUCUCAUGUGAAUGACUUUGUGUUUUAUGAUUCAUCUGAUUAUGGAACAUAAAAAUCGUUGGCUCCACCUUGAAGAAGCCAUCCUGCACAGAGGUGAAAGGGUACAGAGCUUUGAACUUGAGCCUCUUGGAAAUGCCAAGAACUAGACGUCAUCCAGUUCAGAGUCCCAGAGAGUGAUUUCACUACACUAAUUACGCUGCAGUGCCAAGAAACAAGAUAAAACAUAUGAUGCUUCGCAAACACUCAAAAGUCUGUACUUGUCGAAGCAAUUUAAAUAUUUUUACCAUAAUUAUAAAACUAGAACACGAAGGUAACUUCAGUGAAUCUGCCUGAGGUAUCAUGCACAUUUAAUGAAGAGUUUGGU